rnacentral:rRNA from 1 species
CCUGGCUCAGAUUGAACGCUGGCGGCAGGCCUAACACAUGCAAGUCGAGCGGUAACGGAUCCAGCUUGCUGGAUGCCGACGAGCGGCGGACGGGUGAGUAACGCAUAGGAAUCUACCCUGUAGUGGGGGAUAACCUGAGGAAACUCAGGCUAAUACCGCAUACGUCCUAGGGGAGAAAGCGGGGGACCUUCGGGCCUCGCGCUAUGGGAUGAGCCUAUGUCGGAUUAGCUGGUUGGUGGGGUAACGGCCCACCAAGGCGACGAUCCGUAGCUGGUUUGAGAGGAUGAUCAGCCACAUCGGGACUGAGACACGGCCCGAACUCCUACGGGAGGCAGCAGUGGGGAAUAUUGGACAAUGGGGGCAACCCUGAUCCAGCCAUGCCGCGUGUGUGAAGAAGGCUUUCGGGUUGUAAAGCACUUUCAGUGGGGAAGAAAGC